GGUCAGAUGGCCGAGCGGUCUAAGGCGCUACGUUCAGGUCGUAGUCUACUCUUGUAGGCGUGGGUUCGAAUCCCACUCUGACCA
rnacentral:tRNA from 1 species